GCCGUUGGUGCUUCCUGUCUCUGGGCCCGCAGGUCAGCGCUAGGUGGAAAAAAUCUCCCCUCUUCCUUCCGAUUUGCCCUAACCCGUGCUCCAUUUCUUGCGAUUCACCGCCGCCGCCCAUCGCCCCCCUCCCCUCCCCUCCGGUCCCGGUGACCUAGCCCGUGGUCUCCGGCCUCCCAGGCACCUCCCUCCUGCGACCCGCGUCUGCACUUCGAUGGAGGAGGAGCACCCACCGGUUCGUCAGCGCGGCCCGCCUCCGCCGCCGCAUGGAGGCACCCAUUCCGGAGACGGAAUCGAUCACCUCAGUGCUCUACCCGACGACGUUCUCCACCUCAUCCUUGCCCGCCUCGAUCACCACCGUGAUGCCGUCCGCACCAGCAUCCUCUCCGGCCGGUGGCGUGCGCUGAUGAGCGGCCUCAGCAUGGCAAGGUUCAGUAUACAGCAGAUAAAGAUCAAGUCUGUUCGAAGGGCGAUCCGUGCGCUCGGGUUGGUACUCGGCGCGCUUGGGGCGCAGCGCCCCGCGUUCGGAGGAUUACGAGUACUCGAGAUCUGUGUUCCUUAUGGAAGGCGUAUCUACGCCAAGGACGUCUCGAAGGUCCUCUUUGCCGCCGCGGAGGUCUCGCCAGUGGAGGAGUUCCGUUUCAUUCUCCCGUGGAACGUAGAUCCGGAAUCCGAUAGCCCUGUGGUUCUCCCUGGUUUCCACCGCGCCAUCUCAGUCCAUCUUGAUGUGUCUUACCUUGUUGUUGCGAAGCUGGCUGGGAGCUUCCCCGUGCUCGAGCGAUUGACGCUCAAGGGCUUCCUGCUUGAUAUUCAGGCCUUACUCAGGCGCUGCCCUUGUCUGCGCGUGCUCAAGAUCAUAUCUCUUGAUGCCAGGCGCAUCGUCAUUCAGUCGGCGUCCCUGCAGGAACUCCAUAUUCUGAAUGCCGUGAAACGUUGCGAAUACGACACAUACAGUAUUGAUAUCGCAGCCCCCGCACUGAAGCAUUUAAACCUUUCCGUCUUCACCCACCACAACUGCAGCUUGAACAUCUCGGCUCCAAUGGUGGAGCAGUUCUCGUGGGAGUGCAAGUACGCCUACAUGGCAACUGGGAUUGGUGAACUGUGGCAACUCACGAGACUGAGCUUAAAGACAGGGGAGGGUGCUGUCACCAAUGAUGUGGAUGGCACUUGUCUGUCGCUGCAUAUAUCUGCCUACAAUACUUCACGUGCAACUGAAGCAGAACACACCUUUGAGCAGGAGAUACAAAACCUACCAGUUGGUGACCUAUGUACAUUGGAGCUGCAUCUUUCCCUUGGGCAGACGGGGCAUGCCUGGAGAUCCAUUGUGCUGCAUAUACUUGGCAUACAGUCUAUUCGUAUUGCUACCCAAAGGCUUAAGCUUGUUCUACGGAGGUCUGAGGUAAUUGGGUGGAAGGAGCUUGCACAGCAGAUUGUCCAUGCCAUGAGCCUAUGCAAAUUCCCUCCUUAGUCAAUCUUCAAGAAGUGGAAAUCAAAGGCUUUAGAGGAGAUGGCUACGAGUUCGAGUUCUUGCAAAUGGUAUCCGGGGCUGCACCAUUACUUGAAAAAACGACGACCAUCAGGUCUGCAGGGAACUAGAUGAUGCAUAUUGGACAGAAGGAUUAAAUACUCAAAUUCUGCUGUAAUGCUUCAAUUUCUUCCGUUAUUUGACAGCCAUUAGGUUUGGUAAGGAUGUUGGGCACUUCUAUUUUGCAAUGGACCUGCAAGGCAGAACCUGGCAAUAAUGCGCUUGGCAUUGUCUGAUGACUGAGUUCAAUAGAUACGAAGUAAAGAUUCUCAGUACACUGUUAUGCAUAUGCUGUGUUCUUCUCUAUGGUCAUUUGAGUAAAGUUUUGCAUGAUUUCUUUCUGAAAAUCAAAACGCAGAUACGCAUUCAAUCUUAAGAUUUGGGCUGGUGAUUGUUGUUGCAAGGCUUGUUAUGCAUAUGUUAUGUUCUUCUC